AUUCACAAAUAGAUUUCUUUAAAAAUCAAAGAUUCUGAUCUCGGAAGCUAAGCAGGGUCGGGCCUGGUUAGUAUUUGGAUGAGAGACCACGUGGGAAUACCAGGUGUUGUAGGCA
rnacentral:rRNA from 1 species